AGUCGUAACAAGGUCUCCGUAGGUGAACCUGUGGAGGGAUCAUUAACACACAAAGAAAUAGAGGGUGUCAGAGUUCGAAAGAGCGAAAACCUCUCUGUUUUUAGUCCAUUUUGGGAUGGGUAAUGUUCACUCGUUGCCCUUCCUAAAACAACGUGAGAUGUUCAAGUCUUGUGAUCAUGCAUACCCAUCUCGGUGGUGCUUUUGCAUGAUCACAAGCAACAAAGAACACCAAUUUAUCAUCGUAAAGAGAUUAUUUUUAUCGAGCGAGAGAAAUUACAUUCAUUUGUAUUUUUUCAAGCGAGAAAAGAAAUAAAAUCAAAAGAGAACUUUUAACAACGGAUAUCUUGGUUCUC
rnacentral:misc_RNA from 1 species